UACGUAGGGGGCUAGCGUUGUCCGGAAUCAUUGGGCGUAAAGCGCGUGUAGGCGGCCCGGUAAGUCCGCUGUGAAAGUCGGGGGCUCAACCCUCGGAAGCCGGUGGAUACUGUCGGGCUCGAGUACGGAAGAGGCGAGUGGAAUUCCUGGUGUAGCGGUGAAAUGCGCAGAUAUCAGGAGGAACACCAAUUGCGAAGGCAGCUCGCUGGGACGUAACUGACGCUGAGGCGCGAAAGCAUGGGGAGCGAACAGG
rnacentral:rRNA from 1 species